rnacentral:rRNA from 1 species
UACGAAGGGUGCAAGCGUUAAUCGGAAUUACUGGGCGUAAAGGGUGCGUAGGCGGUUCGUUAAGUCUGUCGUGAAAUCCCCGGGCUCAACCUGGGAAUGGCGAUGGAUACUGGCGAGCUAGAGUGUGUCAGAGGAUGGUGGAAUUCCCGGUGUAGCGGUGAAAUGCGUAGAGAUCGGGAGGAACAUCAGUGGCGAAGGCGGCCAUCCGGGACAACACUGACGCUGAAGCACGAAAGCGUGGGGAGCAAACAGG